UUGGCGACCGGCGCACGGUGGAGUAACGCGUAUGCAACUUACCUAUCAGAGGGGGAUAGCCCGGCGAAAGUCGGAUUAAUACCCCAUGAAACAGGGGUCCCGCAUGGGAAUAUUUGUUAAAGAUUCAUCGCUGAUAGAUAGGCAUGCGUUCCAUUAGGCAGUUGGCGGGGUAACGGCCCACCAAACCGACGAUGGAUAGGGGUUCUGAGAGGAAGGUCCCCCACAUUGGUACUGAGACACGGACCAA
rnacentral:rRNA from 1 species